GUGCGUGUGUGUGUUUUCCGUAGACACCUUGCCCAGUCCUAAGCCUCCAAGUUGUCCUCCUUCUGAAUGUGGGUACUGCUGGGUGCUGCUGGUCAGUCUGUGUCCCGUUUGUGUAAUUCUGUGCAUGAUCUCCUCCACCUGUGUGUACUGCCUCACCCGUGAAAAAGAAUCAAUGAACAAGAAGAUUUAUCAGACCUUAAUGGACGAUGGAGAAGACACCACAACCACAUCAGUCAUAUACAGGAAGAUGGAGUAACACACUCCUGAGGAUGCAGACUCGUGAUGGACACUCAAGAAAUGCAACGCCAGACUCAAGAGAAAGACACUUCAAGGUCCAGACAUGAUUACUGAGAUUUAAGGUUGCAUUUAGAAUAACAUACUCCAUGUGUCUGCACAUAGCUUCAUUAAGCUCUCUAGAAGUUGGCCCAUGUUUAAUCUCCUCAUGUUUUCAUAUUCCAGUAUUACAAUUACACACUGGGCCUUUUUUAUCAUUGGUGCCCAAGUGUAUAGAUUGUUCACCUGUCUUUGGGUUAAGGAUGCCUUGCUUUUUGUAUGGACUCUUCACAGCAUUUUCAUUUCUUCAAGUGCUGAAAGCAAUUCAGUGCAUAAUUCUAAUUUCAAGACUGAUAGCAACAUCUAAAGAACCUUUUCAUAGGCCUACUUGUUAACUUGUAUGAAGUGCUUCCAUAACAAUUGUUUUGAUGUAUUUGGUAACCUUGAGCAAUAAAUAACAAGUCAGCCA